rnacentral:lncRNA from 1 species
CGGGCGCAACCACUCGGGGAGCGGCGGGGGGAGGACGCGGGGCUCACGCGCACGCAUCCCGCCCCGGGAACGAGGGGAGGGGGGUGAGGAAAAUGUCCGCCCGCCGCUCUGCCCCGGCCGCUCCCUCCGGAAGGGGGCUCGGCGGCUCGGCGCUCGGCCGGGCGGGCUUGGGGCGAGGCUUGCGGAAGCCCGAGCCGCCGGUGGGGCGGACCGGGGAGCGCCGAUGCGCCGCCAUUGGGUUAAGGCGGGCCGGCCGCCAUUUUGGAUGCCGAGUCGCCUCGCUGCGGGAAGUCACACAAAGGACGUGCGGUCACACCAGGACAAGAAGGUGUUUUCAGAAAAGGUUUGAGCCAGCACUGUCAGGAGAGGUCCCCUGCCCUCCUCCUCCUGGCAGUGGAGUGACUGCAUAAUAAACUCCAUCCGCAUGCUGAUCCAGGUAAAAGUGAUCCAACUAAAAAUGUUGGCUUAGUUUUAACCUAGAUCAGGUCCAUCAUCUGCCUCAUUAUGAAUGUAGAAAUGCCUGUGCUUGCACAGUAGAGGAGACAGGGUAGGGGCUGAGUUUGAGUAACAGGGAGCAAAAAAGAAGGCUUCUUCCAGCAGUGUUGGCUCAUGGUAGCAUUAGUUGAUCGCUCGUUUAAGGCAGUAAGGUCUGAGGAGCAUUGACAGCAUUGUUGCUUUAACCCUUACAGGGUUAGGUAGCAGAAACAAAGUCUGUUUCUGGAUUUUCCUAGGUCUUAGCUCACGUGUCAGGGUUCAUCCUUGGUACUUCCCUUAUUUGUUGUUUUGUGCAUGUGUGUGCGCAUCUAUUACAUAUAAUUUUUGAUGGAGUUUAUCCUUUACUACCUGAAAACGCUGACAUCCUAGGACGUCAGUAAUUACAAAAGGAAGCAUCGUGGUUGCAGAGCACUGCCACCCAUUUUCCCUGGUAUCUUCAAACUCUGCAUGUACUGUGCAAGGUUUUAUUCAGUUUCCUGUUCUAAAGCAAGCACCCCCUUUCUCUGCUCCUCCAGUUGCUAAGCAGCAGCUCUUCUCCCCAUUAGCCAGCCAAGUAUUUGCAUGAAAAUAAUCAAGCUUGCAUAUAUAACUGCUUCUAAUCAUGCAGUUAAACAGCUGUACAGUAAAAAAAAGAAUAUUAGUAAUAUUAGUUAUCAUCAAAACUGAUUAUUUUCUUUAAAGUUAGAAUGUCCACGUAGAGUAAAAUCAGUACAGGUAUGCUUUUCUUAACAAAAGACGUUUCAGUCUCUUCUUUCUCUUACCCCAUACUGUAUGCCUACUUAGAAAAACUGUUCAAAAAUGUUAUUUGCAGUUCCCAAAAAAUGUCUAAAUGCAGCUGUGAGCAGACCAAACUAACUUCAUCAGUGAAAAGCCACCUUUUGCAAAUGUCUGAUUCUAGUAGCAGAAUCCAAAAGUACUUGGUGAUAAAAGAUUCGACUAUAAUACAGAAGGUAAUGUUUUGUACAGUACUGUAUGGUACAUCCUAACUUCAUAAUUGACUUGCGUAUCCAUGUUUGAGUUCCUGUUGAUUUUCAAGGCAUUCGGUAUUUCUAAGGUCUGUUUUUAUUGGCAUGGUCAUCACGGGCAAGCACGUAGGAAAAUUCGUUAUAUGGGAGUCCUGACAAACCUUUCUUAUGCUCCCAAUAGCCAGACCUACUCUUGCUAUAAUUUGAGGCAGCGUUGCGCACACCCACUGUGCUACAUACUGCUGGAAAGUCAAGUGCUGUCUGACUGUCAGCAGAUAAAAAUGUAAGCACGGGGUAUGAAAAGCAAGGAGCUGAGCAACUCCCAGGCUACCAGACUGGCUUAAAGUGCCACUUGGGUUGCAGAAUUCAUUUGUAGAGGUAACCGUGCUUUGAAAAUUGUGCUUGAGAUUCUAAUUCAUGAGAACUCCUAACAACAAAAAAAUUCUUAGUGAAUUGCUACAGGCUAGGCAAUUGGCUCUGAAGUGUACUGCAGUUGGGUUUUAUCGGAACCAGAGCAAUAACACAUUUAAUUAAUGAUCUUACAGCAAUGUUUUACCACUAGAAAACUGAUGAGAAAACUGACCUCGUCUCAAGCGUAAAAAUACUUGAAGUAUUAAAGCCAUCUUUUAGCGAUGACUCUUAAUAAACCUGUCAGAGCAAGAAUGGUGCUCUGAAUGGCCACGUGAUUGCAAGAUAAAUACGUUUGAAAGAGAACCCAAGAAAGUGUUAUGGGCAACUGUGACAGUAUGUGGGGCCUAGGAAAAAAAUAAAACAGAGUAAAAAAUAACGUGAAAGAAAAUUCUUUCCUGUAUUAAAGGUAUGUUUGUGGGGGGGAUUGUUUGGGGUUUUAUUCAUUUGUUUUUGCUUUUAAUAUAAUUUAUUUUACUGGCAAAGGAAUUGAAUUAGGUUUAAUUUGUGCUCCAAGAAAAAGAUUCAGUAUAUUGCCAUACGAGAAAUUAAGUUGGGCGCAUAAAGAAUUUCUAAUGGGAAGAGAAGGGCUAUAAAACUAGAAGUUGCUUACAAGCAGACUCUACUGUUUAACAUCUUUAGGAGUGUUUUAUUUUGUACAUAAAUAAAAGUUGAUAGUAACCUUAAUUUUGGAAAACAGAUAUACAAAAGAAGAAUCGUCUGGCUUGCAUCUGAAUAGAAGCAUCGUAAUAUCUUGUCUUGCAUAUGAAGUGCAGGGUUUUGAACUUGAAAAUGGCUAAGAAUUUUCUGCUCUGAACUAGAAACUCCUUAAUCAGAAAUGGCAGAAGAAAAGUUCUGGGGGUCAGCCCUAAAGUGCAUGAGGUUAUUUCCAUGAAAGCUAGUGAUACAUCUGUGUGAUUGUACGAGAUCUUGGUCCAACCUUAUUUGGACUAUUUUUUAAGUCAUCAAGAGGGUUGAAUUUAAACUAAACCAGGUGCAGAAUAGGGUUAUAAAAAUGAUCAUGGGUAGGAGAAGCCUGUUUUAUCAAGAAGAAUCACUUGGCUCCAUCUAGAAAAACAAACAAUGAAAGAGAACAUAAGAGGAGUUUUUGUAAGUAUAUUGCUAACUGUGGCAUAAGCAGGAAGGAAAAAUAUUUAAGCAAGAGAACAGUACUGAUGUAGAAUGAUUAGCUACAAACCGGUCAUAAUAAGUUUAAGCUGGAGAUUAACUUGCCAUGGAAGAUUUCUAACCAACAGAGGAGUGAACUUCUUCUCUGUGUGGAAGGAGGAGAGCAGAGCAUUGUAGCAAGUUUUAUUAUGGAAGUUGAUCGGAUUACCAAAGGUUCUGUGAUGUUCUUUGCUGUUUAUCACAUGACUGCGUCCGAUGAUCAGAAUUUAAGAAGAAUUGCAUGUAGUUCACUGAACAUUUCAAUUAUAGGUUCCUCUCAUUGAUACAGACGAUUUAGCCAUUAGGAUAAAGAGUUCUCAUCAUCACUGCACAAAACACAUUCUAUGCCAUGUUUUCACGUCAGAAAAUCUUAGCUGUACAAAAAGCAUUGCAGCAGGUUCUACCAUCACCUUCUGUAUGUGUGCAAAUAAGUUGUGCAUACAAAUUCUUACACGUAAUGUUUAUAUGAAAAUACAAAACUACAUUUAAACCACUUUAUUUCCUGGGUUGCAUUUGUAUGUAGCAAUUUAUAUUUCAAACAAAAGUUUCAAUUGAAAGUUAUUUGACAGUAACUCUUUUUUCCCCCCAACAUUUUCAGGUCUUACCUUGGCCUAAUGUCGGAAGAACCUACCAGUGAAUGUGCAUGCAGGAGAACACAUAAGUACUCAAGGAAACUAUCUCAUCUGAAAUGUAAAAAUGAAUAAAGAUUUGCACAUACGUAACAAAACAGACCUAUACUAUUUUUUUGGUAAAAAAAAUUCAUUCGUUAACAGCAUAUACAUAAUACAAGAAGAUUGACAGUAAGCGUGUGAUUUUGGAUCCAGAGAUAAGGCAAUAUUUAUCUGCUCUCUGCUGAUGGAGUUCUGUAUGUCAAAAAGGGGUUGAGGUUUCCUCCUAUGUUAAGAGAAUGGCAUGUUGUCAAAACCAAAAUAUUUAUAUGGUUCUGUAAUGAGUUUAGUGUAACACGUGUUGUUAGAGGGCAGCUAACAGUAUAGUAACAAGUUUAGUGGCUGGAUGUAUGAUGGAAAGAAGUUCAUAGAUGAAAUUUGAUUAAGAUGAACUAAUUAAGUCUUAUAUAAUUGAGGAAUACUACUAAAGUAGUUGUAUGAGCAGAGUUUCUGAAUCAAAGUGAUUAAAAAACUAGAUGCCUGUAAGAGUUGGGUAUGGCCAUAAAAGAGAAGACUAUGCGUAAUGACAUCCAACAUUUAAACAUGAGUACUGUUCGUGUGAAUGGUAUGUUUGUCAGUGAGAGUUACCGGCAAGUUGUGCAGUAAAAAGGAAAAAGAAAAUGGUUGAGCUUUUGAAUAGCUUUUGUCAUAAAAAGAAACUAAUUACUUUUACUUUUACAUCUUACAUACAUUAUCUCUUCCCAAGAGAAAGUAUGUGUGACUUGGUAGGGUUUACAAGAACUAUAUCACUUGUAUGUACACAUACAUCACCCUACCGAACUCUGAAAUUUCUAUUCCAUACAAUGGAGCUGAGGUAAAUGGUUCUAAGAGCUGUUUUCACACUGGCAAACAAUUUUCCAUAUUCUUGUUCUUAUAAGUAGCUGAAACUCUCCACUGAAAAAAAAAAAAAGAGUUAGCCCAAGUGAUUGAAAUAGUUAAUUUAAAAGAUUCCAUAGUGGAAAGUUUCUAAGUAGCGUAACUGCAGAAUGUCCUAUCAGUCUCCUAAUUUAUGCAGCUAACUAUAUGUACACAUGUGGUUAUUAUUUGGAUUUUCAUUGUUUCAAAACGUGAAGUGUGUUUCUGUGAAUGUAUCACAAAAAUGGGGCUGGAUGGUAAGUGGUGAAAUCACCUGGUCUGCCAUGCAGUCUGAUUUACAAGCAGCAUUCCCCAUUCAUGCAUCAAAGUGAAAGAAGCUUCUGUCUGGUAUGUUGAUCACAAACAGCCAUCUGUUAUCCAGGAAGAGAUAGGAGAGUCGCCAGCAGAGUAAACUUAAAGUGCUUUAAGAUUAAAUUGAAGAUGGCAGAGGCCUAUUAAAUGCUUUCCCCAUCUCUGUCACUAUUGGUUUCUGUAACAUAUGAAUGCAUACUUUAUGCUGCUGUUCCAGAUAGCAACUAUUUUUUUCCACCCAUUAAGUCAAUUACCUGUAGUUUAGAACACAGUUUAAGAUUUCCUGUAUUGUCUGUCUUCCUUUUUAUCACCUCAUUUUUAUUUUUUAUUUUUUCCUUCUUGGUGUUUCUUCCUGUCAAAUAACUUUCCAGAACAAGAUGAAUGUUAAGAAAAAUACUAUUUUGAACUUCUCAUUUGCUUACCUUAAGCUACACUUGCUUGUGUUUGCAACAUUUCCUUUCGAGUCUUUCCAGCCCCCAAAGAAUUUCUGUUAUUUUUAUGUGAAUUCCAUCCAACUUGCUGAGAUCUUUUUGGUAAUAUGCCUGGGACUCAUUGGCAAAUUCCAGGUGUGAUUACAAAGGGCACGGACAAAGAAUUUAUGGUUUAUGUCUAGAUAGAGCCAUUUACGUUGUUUCAGGUACCCACACGACCUCUGUGUGUAGGACGGAAUGAAUUGCCAGAGGAUGUUAACAUCUGGUUCACCAAGAGGCUUGAGGCGCUUAGUUGGUUGUUGACUGAGAAAGCAUUCCACAGCCUGCCCUAAAGCUAUGUGGAGAGAAACUGUUGCCUUCCUGCUCUAGGAUACAGUGCUUCCAAGUACGCAAGUCAAAUCUAAAUCAGUCUUUUUGUUGGUAUGCUGUUACAAAUUUAUUUGUAGUUUCUGCUUGCUUGUUAUCCCCACAUUCUUUACAAAUAUUAUGCCUUAAGGUUAUUUCCAUCCCAUUGAAUAUGUUCCAGAAUAUUUCCCUCAGUACUUUCCAUAACAGUAGCUUGUUUUUUUUUUUCCUCUGUACUCAACUUCAUCUUGCUGUUUUCUGACUGCAUUUUAACCCUUAUAAUUACUUUGAUAUACCUCCACGUCCCCAUAGUUGUCCACGUUGGGGCCUCUCAAAGAUUAAUGAAGAUGUCAAAGAAGACAGGGCCUCAUAACAGUUCCUUUGGCACCAUACAUGCACAGAUACAUUGUUGCUUGUCCUUUUUCACAGAAGUCUUUUAUUUGCUAUCAGUCUUCAGAUUUAUCUUGAGCUCUACAGUAUUCACUGUUUUCCUUAAGCUUCAGUUUCGAUACAGUCCUUACUUGUUUAAUCAUCCCUCAUUCAGCAUUGUAACCCAUCCAAUGCAUUCUGAGUGACUUGGAGGUUUCGCAAGAGUACCAGAUGCUUUCCUGAAAGUGGGAUAUGUGAUAUCUAAAGGCUUCCUCCAGACCUUGUAUUGUGUUUUGGCUUUUGGGAAGAGUGCUGUUUCUGUUGUAAACUAGAUACUGCCUAUGAGCCUGUUGGUCUUUAUGUCUAAGACUUUCAGACAUGCUUGUCCUAAGGUUAAGCUUAGCAUAGCUUAAAAUUUCAAAAGUUAGUGUUCUUAUUUAUGUUUACAACUAAAUGAUUUUCGUGACUACUGAAACCUAGCUUAAAGAAUGAUCGCUUAGCGCUUCUUAAUACUGUUCUCUUUUUCUCAGUACUGAUGGGUCUUCUCAAUUUUUCAGGGGCUUUCUUCCUCCAGGGCAGAUCUUAAUGGGCAUAUAUAAUCAGGAGUGGGAUAGAUGAAUGGUGUCCAUACAUUCAAAUGCAUCCUCUUAAAAUGCAGAAAGCCACAGAAUGUCAUAGAACUAAUUGCUAGAGAUUUAAUAUUUACCCAGCAAUUAGCAGAGUUUUAUUUUGAUGUGACAUUCAUCAGUUAACUGAUGCACUUCCUAACUCUUUCUAAAAAGAAAAGCUCAUUUCCAUACGAAGAUACAAAUACUAGCUGCUAAUUAAUAAUACUGUAAGUAUUUUUAGAUAUUGGUAGACAGAUGGCACAUCUGGUAAAAAGGCAAUGCAAACAGAGUGGUGUAAAGGUGUAACACAAUGGAAAGCACAGCAACAACAGCAGAGUAGCACAGUUCUAGGCUGCAGAGAGUGAGUUUGCCCAAAUGCAACAGCCAUAGAGACAGAAAUCAAGGAAAGAAGCUGCUUACCUUCAGAAGACCUCAGGUACACAGAGAUCUCCAGCAAGAUACCCUCACCUCCACUGCCAACCCUUAAAUGAGGUCUGGGAAGGGGUGGAUCUUGGCUCCAUCCCUUCUGAUCACUCAAGUGCAUUGCAUACACCUGAGCUCCUCUGGGUCGGCCCUGCCUUCCCACCAGGUGCUCACUGUUUCAAGCCAUUACUUAGCAUUUCUGCUACAAAAAGUAAUCCCAGAAAGAUAUUACUAGAGCUGAAGUCUGUCCAGAAUAUGGUCUUCCUAAAUACAUAUUCCCUAAAUAAAUACUGUUGUGUAUGCUUGGUAUAUAAGAAUAUAAUUACUAAUGUAUUACCACCACUUACAUUGAUAUCUACUAAAGGUUGACACUUUAAGUACAAGCCUCGUCAGCACACAGAUCUACCUCAACAAUUUUGGAGACUUGCAAAUAACAUUUAUUUUCUUGCCAGUAUAUUGAUUGUUGUGUAUCUUAAAGCAUGAGGUAGAUAUAGUUGGAGAUACAAAGAUAGGAAGAACACAAAUUUAUAAAGUGUUAACUGUUAUUCUGAUGUGAUAUGUUAGUGCAAAUUAGGAAGUACUGGAAGGAAAGACACCAUAAUUCUGUUUCCAGUUUCUAGGGAGAAAAUCUUCUGUGGUGGUUAUGAACCUCUGGUCAGGUACAGAAAUCAGAUACUUUUACUCUGGCAGCUGUGCAGUUAAAUGACUGAGACUCGAUUUUGCUUUAGUUAGAAAUGCAGUGAUAGCUGUUUUCCUUCAGAAGUAGUAACUUGAUGGCUUGGCUAAUAACAUCAAGCAACGCUAACCCCCAAAUCCAUAAAAUAUAGACACUGCCUUCUUCAGUCUCCCUACCCACAGCAUCUUCACCUUUCUUUUCCUGUGCUGCUUUAAAGGUUAUUUUGUGGAGAUAGUAUUUUGAGUAGCUGUUUUUCUCAGGACAGAAUAUAGACUUUUGACUUAUUUGGAUGUUUUAUUAUAAUACUUCAAUGAUGUGCUCUCACUUGGACCAUGCUUUUUGCUAAAGAAAAUGAUCAGAUUGAAACUAUUAACACGGGGAAAAUAGGAAAUGGUCAUACUGUAAAAAUAACUGUGAAAAUGUAUCAGAUUGUUCAGAGAGGGAACAGCCUUCCUAGAAGUGAUCGUGUUCUCACACUUUGCUUUAAACACAUUCUUUAUCUUUAAAAGGAAACAGAAGAGAGUCAGUCAGUAAAUCAAACGUAGUCGUGGUCUAGUCUGCAAAACUCUAUCAUUCUGGAGUAAGGCAUUAGGUGUGGGCAUUUGAGACAAGAACUGCCAGUGCCAAGAUCUCCUGUGCUCUGAGAAGAGUGCAUACAGCUCUGGUUAGACAGUAUCUUUCUUGCAGCUCUUGAUGGUUUUUCUUCAUUGUCUGAAGAUAGCAGUUACGGUUGCUAUCUAUUAAAAAACAGGCUGUACUUUUCUACUGCAAGGAAUAAGGGUGUUGUGUUGUGUUUUAUUUUGUUUUUAAUAUCUGUUUAAAGAAGGAUAUUGGACUUCUUACCCAAAAACCUCUACCUUCACUUACUUGUUGGCAAAAUAAAAUGCAAACAACUGUUGAAAGACCGCAUGUUCUAGCUGCAACUUUUAAAGCCAGUUUUGUGAUAAAGAUUGCACUGCCAGUAACCUGAGUUUGUCUCUAUUGCUCCAGCACUGGAUCGUAAGUCAGUUCCCUAAUUUCUUCUUUACCUAGCAGGUACAAAAUUGCUUUUUGCUUUCAGUAACGCAAAAAUUGGUUAUUUUGAGCAAAAAAAAACCAGUAGUAUUUAUAUUUUUCAAGCUCCUUCAGAGUAGUUUUAUCUUCUAUGUCCUUAAUAAAAGCAAAAUAUUUCUAGCUAGUUUUAAUUCAGUCAUCAAUAAAAUGGGAACAUUGUUACUUUAGAGGUAAAAUAAAAAUCCAAAUUACUUGGCAUUAACUAUACUGCGACAGAAGAAUUCAUGAUUUCCUUAUUGGGUUCUUUGUAAUGUUCCUUACCAUACAUUACAUUUAUACUAUAUUACAAAAUAAUGACGGCAGAGAGUUGUCUGGGUCUCCCUGUGUCCAAGUGUUGUCCCCUGAGCCACUUGGGAGCUUCAUUCCAGGUGGUUGUUAUGGGCCAAAGCUGCUUGGCAUUGCAGGUGAUGAGCAGUCUGAUGUUCAGGUUAUUCCUGGGUACCACUCCAUUAAACAGUACAGGUGGAGCAACAGUGACUCAGAUAAGGUUUUUUAAGUGUUCCACUUUGCCAGGCUCGAAAGAAGACUUCUAGGGGGUCUUCAGUCUCACUGAGUUUCUUUCUUUUCUAAGUGCUUCAAAUACAUUAAUUUCAGAAUAUCCAAAUGAAUAAGUAAUAAGAGCACUUGCCUAGGAGCCCUUAGUCCCUGCACGCAGUACUGUGCAUUCAAGCUGUACAGUUACUGCUUAAUGAAAAUACAUAAGCAGCCUAGGAGUAUCCUUAUUCUUUCUGGCCUGGGUGUCUUCCAUUCCCCAGCACUGAUUGUCAGAAUCUUAAGGUGGACGUAAGAGAUGCUUUGUACACAGGCCUCUCCUGAUGGGAGUACUCUCCUAACAGACAGGAGAGGCUGAUUUAAGUCCUUCAAGCAGUAAAGGCACAGAAUUCAAUCAACCAUUUCCUUUCCAGCUGCUUUUGAAUAACGCAUUGUUCUAAUCUCUGUUCUGUGGUGUAAGAGUAGGUAACAAAGGUAUGUGUCCCAAAGGAGGGUGUGAUAUCUCUUACUUCUGCCAAAACUUAGGUCUAGAAAAGCUCUUAGGCAUCAGAAGUAAAUUGUUGCCUGAUGGCUAACCUGAAUUUCACCAAGGAGACAAAAUGAGCAGCAGUAAGUGGCCUCCUCUGAUGUGCUUUCUAAGCUGCCAUAUGUAUGUCUUUGGUUAGAAUUCUUAGGAAUACAAAAGCUCUCGUGCACUCUGGUUGCUAGGUACUACUUCUGGAGGACUGAGCUCUCCAGCUUCAUACACUUACCAGUCCUUAUUGUUGGAUAGUAUGCUACUUAGUGAGAACAGUGGUGUUCUGUGCUCGGUUGCAUGGCAAUAAGUGGCUGUGCAAAGGACAAAGUUCUAAAGAAUGAAGUCAGAAGGUUUUAUAUCUCAUAAGGCCUCUAAUCCUUCAGACCACUCGUGGUUUUGCAUUAUGAUAUGUUCAUGUUGUCUUAAAUGGGACUGCUUACCUAAGUGAAGUUCCGGGUGUAAUUGCACGCAGGUUCACAUCUGAGCAGUCACAUUUCAGUUUCAUACUGUAGCGCUGUAAUGAAUAGGACAGCUCUGAUGUUACCCCUUGGCCAGUCACGGUGAAGGGGUUUCUGAAACAGAAUAUGUUUCUGUGUAAUGGCUUACACUCCGUUUCCAUGCCUGUCCAAACUAAGUGCUUACAGAGGCACAUCACAUGGAGUAUUUUAACUGUUGGGUUGAGAGAGUCAUAAGGCAUAGAUUUUCAAUGCGGUAGGUCACGAGGCUGCAGUUUCACUGAGUUGUGUGUUGUAUUUGCAUAGGCAGAUAUUCAGCCAGUUAAUGGUAGCACAGAAUGCUUUAAUGAUUUUCAUUUGCAUCAAGCUGUUCUCACCUCUUAGUAACAUAAUGGAUAAAUAAAAGAGGCCUUUUGUUUGCUCUCCAUGAAAGUUACCAGUGAUUAAGUGGUGCUGAGGGAACAGACUGAUGCUCUUAAAAACCCAACAAAAAAACCCAACAAAAAAAGGAGCCACAACAGAACUGGCCAUCAAAGCCGACUUCAAAGUGACCUACUUCAUUCUGAGCUAAAAUGCCACUUGAAUAAUUUUAUUUUAAUGUUAUGCACAUUUCCUAACUCGAAACACAGACGUGGGCAUUCCAAACAAAAUACAGAAAGUUGCCCAUGAAGCACUCAUCGUUUGUGAGGGUCCACGUAGUAGUGCUGAAUUACAAACAAAGCGAUAUACUCUUAGACAAGUUUUUCUUCCAAAUGGAUUCAGCAGCCACUUUUAUUAUUAGAAAUUAUGUCCAGAAUAUAAACUGCAGGUAAAGUGAUACAUUUUGCACUAUGAUUGUGACUCCACUGGCCUGGUUUUAGCUUUGGUAUCUAGCAGUGCCGGUAUUUGUUUUCCUAAAUGUGUUAGAAUUUCAGCUCUGUAUGUGGUGCUGAAAACCACAGCCAAGACAGUGCAUAUCCUCAUUAGCCAGAUUUCCAUGGUCUCUAUUUAGGGUACAAGGGUACAAUAUUCCCGAUACCAGCUAGGAUAAACAGGCUUUCGAGUACUCGGGUUUUUUAUUUUCGAUUGAUAACUUCCAGUCCUUUCAGUUUCUAACCUCGUGCCUUUGAGAUAGUGAUCUUGAGCACUUACUUCUUGUGGCAUUCAACUUCUCUCUUUCAAGCUUUGUGGUAUUUAAAUCGAGAUAAUGAACCUGACUUCAUAUGUUUGGAACACCCUCCAUUUUCACAGAAUGAAUUGGGUGUUCGAGGCACACAAAAUAUGUAAAUUCAGAUCUGCUGAAUAUCUACUUUUAAUGGUCCUUCUGUUUUGUGUUGGCUUUGAUUUGUCCAGUGUUUGACUGGGGGCUAAUUAAAUUCCUGAAUGUACAAUAAGAAUAUGUUAGUCUAUCAAUUCCUUCACUGAUUUUAAUUCCUUUACUCUUCCAGUUAAUUUUCUUUUGAAUCUGCCUUUGUGUUCUCAGCGUGGCACGAAAGGACUAGUGAACAGCCUGAAUGCAGGGGAAGCUGAGGGAAAUUUCCAUCUGCAAUCAAUCUCCCCCAUUGCAAGAGGGGUGUUGGAUGUCAUUACGUGUCCGAUAAAGAUGGCUGAAUUCAGUGAUUACUGCCUGGGUAGCAUAGCAAUUCCUUAGAAAUUCGUUGCAGGAAGGAAGGAUUUAGGAUUUCAUCUAAGAAGAGAUCUGUGCGUACGAGGAUAUGAUUUUUUACCUUGGGUUAAGAAUAAAGUGAUAUUUGCAGGUAUGCUUGAUUUUAGGUGUAUAGUAAGAUGUAAAAUGUCAUCACACUAUUGGCAACAUAUUUCAGUACAUGUAGAUGAGGGGUGUAUUUUAUUUGUAUUAACAAUGUGGGUUGUGUGUUUACAGCCUAACAACGGCCUUAAUCAUCUUAAUCUUGUUUUUUUUCUCUUGAUGUGUACAACACGUUGAAAUAUAACUUCCUAAGUAUAUAUCAGUAGGAGGAUAUUGCAGAAGCAAACCUUUUAAGCAAAGAUGAAGCACUGUAGCUAAUGCAGAUAGAACUACAGCAACUCUUCUAGCUACAGUGGGAAAACUUUGCUCAGAAAUGUUAAUUGAGUGGUUUUAAUUGAGUGCCAGAAAACUGCUUCUGUGUGGUCGUUCCUGCUUAGAGAAUCUUCUAACUCAACGUCUUCCAUUUUUCCUUGUUUCUUUCUUUCUUGGCUAGCGGUUGCUUCCAUAAAUUGGAUUUAUAAACUAUGAAUCUAAAGAAGAUAGCAUGUUGUCUGGAGGAUUUGAUCCAGAUGUAUAUUAUUACUUCUUUGAUAAAUAUCUUUUUAAGUACUUAUGGUGAAGAAGGAGCUUUUCUUUUUUGCUUUUUGUUGGUUGUUUGGGUUUUUUUUGGGGGGGGGGGGAAGAGAGGAGGUGGGAGGGUUAGGUUUGUUUGUUUUUUUUAAUGUUUUAAUAUCCCAAGCAUCUUACUAGCAGCCAAAUUAAUGCUGAAUAAAACUCCAGAAAAUCCAAUAGUAUUUCAGCAGGGAUUCAUUCAGCCCUUGGGUUUUGGGCUGUAUCGUAUUGCAAGCUCUUAAAAAUAAGAGUGUUUGGAAAGCUGCAGGCUUCCCAUCUUUUUGUCUGGAAAAGUUAUAAAAUGGAACAGGCAGGCUUUUCACUGAGCUGCUGAGAACGCAGUUCUGGCUGUGCAAUCAGGACUAAAUAAGGAGCAAGAUCUGCACUAAAAAUAGAAAUGGAGGCUGAUCCAACUGCAGCGGGAGUUACAAUCCUUGCACAGCGAAGGGUUGGUAGGUUCAGCUGAGGACACUCAGUUACAGAAAAUCAAAUAAACUGUAUCCCGCUCCUGUAAAGCCAUCAUGCCCUAACUGCUCUAACUGGAUUUUUAGCAGUCAGCAGAACUAUUAAUCAUUCCUGCAAAUUAACAUCUUAUUUCAGAUGCAGAAUUUUUUCAGAGAGGGAAUUAUAUUCACCCCACAGCAAGAGGGAAAUAUGGGCUGGUUUUACGUAACUGUUUGGAGAACGUAGGGGAAAAUUGCACAGAUUUGAUGCACUUUCUCAAGGCUGGAGAAAUGCAUUCAUGCUAUUCUUUUGAGCAUUAAGCUGAUGUGCCUGCUGAUAUUAUAGACUCAAGGUGGGCACGCUCUGCUGACUCAGCUAUCUUGCCAGGCCUUGGAACCUUGUCAUGGACUGCAGAUUUCAUAGUAGGUGCUUUGAGGGAGGUUACUCUGCUCAUUUCAAGAACAAAGUACAGGACACCGUAGGUCAUUCCAGCCCUCUGCUGUGUCCUCUCCUGUCCUGUCUUAUCCUGUCCGUCAUUGGGAGCGCAGUUCAGGAAAUGUUGAAGUAUUUGGGUCAUUUGACACAUGGGAAAGCCUGGACAGUGGAGAGAGUUUGUGGAAGAAGACCAAAAGACAGAGAUCAUUAAAAUUCCACAGGCCAAGAAAAAUGUGUCAGUAAAUUAUGAAUUAAUUACUUCAUUUUCCUUUCUUAUCUCCCUCCCCAACAGAAUAUUGAUGACAUUAUUUCUUAUGUCCAGACUCCUCUCCCAGCACCCAUAGUUUCAUCUCUUCCACAUCCCAUAUUGAGCACGCAGUUCAGCAGAAGCUGAGUGCAGCUGCCCUGCAGAAGGACAUGAUCAGCACAGUGAUGUUGGGUAGGGAGGAAGCAGCCUCCGUCUCCAGCUGAGUUCAGAGGCCUGUUGUUGUGGGAGGGGAAAAAAAAAAGAAUGCAUGCAGUCAAGGAGGUAUAGAGAAGGAAUGGCGAUCAGAAAUCGCAGCGAGAGCUGAAAUAUGUCUAUCAUUGUAUUUUGGUUGCAUGCAAAUCUCACACAGAUGGUUUCAUUUACCAACUUUAGCUUAAUCUUUAUUAGACUACAUGGGCUUUGUCCUCAUUUAACUAUGGGCUGUGCACUCCCAGCUUUUGUGUACCUUUAGCUGUUACACUUUGGAACAAAUCAUUUGGUAUAAUAAAAGCAACAUAGCCCCGUAGUGCAGAUGUAGUAAUAUUAAUGACUUCAUGGAAGUAAGCUGUGUACCUAUAUCAACUCAAUGAUUAAGCUAAAAAAAAAAAAAAAUCACACCCAAUCCAACAAAGAAUUGUUAAAAUUAUGUGUGCAAAGAGAAAAAUAAUUUUAGUAACAUGCUUUAAGUAACUGAAUGUUGUAGAAAGAGGAAACGGUAUUACCUGAACUCACAAUUUCAGUUUAGCUAGGGGCUUUUAAAAACGUUGUUUCUGUUUAUGAUGAGUUGGGUCAUAGGUUGGGAAACCACAGUGAUAUAACCGAAUUGCUAGGAGAUGACUACCAAACUGAAUAUAAACAGGUAGGCAAUUUUACCUUAGCUGCUCUUUCACGAUUAGUCUUGAAUGUAAUAAUUAAUUCUGCAGGUCCUUACACAUGCAAAAUGAAUGAACUCAAGACUUUUUUUUUGUUAAGUUGAAUUUGUUUGUGUUUGUCAGAGCCCUUUCAAAGUACGAGGGAGGUCACAGCUGUUCUUUUCAUUCACACGUAAUCUGGUAAAACAAACAACAUAUGUAUGGGGCGUAAGAGUUUAGCACUCAGAACACAGGGAUUUGUAUAUGAAUUUGAAAACUGUAAAUAACAAAUUAUGCUUAACCUUUAUCUUUCCACCCAUCAACCUGAUUUGUUAGUAAAGAUUUGUGUUGGAAUUGAGGUUUUAAUGUGUUACAUUGUUCAGAAAAUAACACUUUCUCCAAGUGCAAGAUAACAAGGUCCGUGUUUACAUUCUCAGCCUUAAUUCUAAUUGUCAUAAGUCUCCUAGAUUUACAUAAUUAGUACAUUUACAUAAUCACUGAAGACCUUCAUCUGCACUCCACUGAAAGUAGACCUGAACCCUGCUGAAAAAUCACACUUAUUCAUACUUCAUAGUGCAAGCAUACAGGACUGACCGCAGAUGUAGGCACAAAGACUUUUCUUUAGAGCUUGAUGGCAUCUGAGCGCCUGAGUGAGCGUGGUAGUUUAGCACACUAGCACAGAAAUGCUCAUAAGCAGUCUGCUCGCAGUCCAUGCUGUCAUAUUGUAUCUGGAGUGGAUAGGGCUUGGGGAGAGGAGGUAUAGAAUAUAGUCAUGCUCACAUCUGGGCCAAAGGACUUUUUGUUCUGUCACAGCGUAGGCAGUAGUUGUAGUGCUCUUAUUUACUCAGGGAGAUGGAGCUUCCAAAUGCUGAAUAUUAAAAAACAAACACAAAGCACGUCACUGAGUCUCUUCCAAGUGGGAAGAUGAGCUGAAUAUUUCACAAGUACUAAACAAUUCAUCCCUCUUUUUCUCCUUGAUGGAGACAGCUACAGAAACCCAUUAGUUUGCAUGUUGUCACAAGGAGAUUUGCUCUUGCAUCAGACAUUGAACUUAUAUUCGACUUUCUCAAACCACAGAACCCUUACCCGUCAUUUUACUCUAGAAAUACUGCCAAUUCAGGGGAAAAACGCUUGCUAGACUGAAACACUAGAAAGCAGACAAAUACUUCAAAGCAGAAUAGGUGGUUGCAAUUCUGUUAAAUGAUAGUAACAAAGAUGAAUUUCCUGUAGGAAAUGAGUAAUUCAAGGGAUAUGGGUUAGAACUUGACACCAUGCGAGUCACGACUGAAAGUUAUCACCAUCUGUUUUUGGAUGGCCUCUUUACAGCUAGGUCAGACCUUUAAACUGCUUUUCUGUGGCCAAAUACCUGUAACAGAAAAGCCACCGUGAUUGUUAGCUGUCGUCUUAUAUGGCUUGAGUUGGUGCUGUGAGAGCGUGACAUUACUGUCUGUGCCGGGAAGUAAUUAAAUUAUAGCACUUGCAUGAAAUCUUUUCUUGUGUCUUAGUCUGCAGAGUAGCUUGGUAAAAGGUUUCAGUAGACACUCCUAUUCAAAACAUGGACAGGAAAUCAAAAACAUUUGAAGGCAUCUUCUCAAAAUAGAACGGUCCUGAAUAGACAUCUUCACAGCACGGGUCAGCAAGAAGAUGACUUCUUCAUCUCAGGAAUCACAGUUUCCUUUUAUACUUAUCUGCCAAGCCUUCUAAUUACCAAAUUACUUGGCAAAAAUCAAGUAGAACUCAGCAUAAUUACCUUUUUGAUCUUCACUUGCCAAAAGAGUUCUGGUUUCCUGAAUAGGAUAUUCAUGGAACUCAGGACUUCUGUGCAUUUCGAGCCAGAGAACAAAGGAAUGGUUUGAUACCUGGACUUUAGGUGAUUUCCUCUCCUAGCCUGCAUGCUGAAUGGCUGACAAGGAUAGGAAAUCUUGCUUUGCACUCAGUCUUCAUCAGUGGUAAAAAGGCAAGUUUAAUUGGCAAAACAAAUGAAAUUCCUCUAGAAUGUCUAUAAUACAUUUAAGGAAUUGCCACAUAACAGUUUAAACUAUCUUCUGGCUUAAGAGCAGUCACCAAUCCUGAAAGGUUGAAAGAAGUUGAGCUUGCAGAAGUCUCUACUCAGUGGCUUCUCCCAUGCCACUGAACUGUGGUUCUUGAAAGAUCUAGCCAAGGUAAAUACUCCAGUCUGAGGAAGAUGAACUGGUCUCAUCAGCUUUCAGGAGUCCCUAUCCUUGACAAGAGUUUUACGUUCUUGUUUACUUUUGUCAGAUAGGAUGACCUGAAGGCUGUCACUGUGAGAAGAGCAAAAAUUUCAAGGAGCCUCAAGGCUUAUAUCUGCUCGAUGGGCGUAUGAGCCCUCAAAGUCACAUAAGCAAAUGUCCAACUCCAGCAGAUAUUCAUAUGCACCCCCCCUAGAACUCCUGUUGCUGUUUCAUUCGUAACUUUUCAUUCAUUUUGAUGCAUAAAAAGCUUUUCUGCAGGUUUGUCGUGCAGUGAAACACUAGCAGUACCUGAUAGCGUGAGGAUGUUCAAUCAUAAACAGCUUGUUUUAAAGCUAUACCUGCACAGCAAUAUAGAUACCUAAAAAACUAAGCAAAAUUUGCAACACGUUGCCAGGCAAAGUUUUAUGAUGAAGGUAAACCCUCACCCCUAAAAGCAAGAAAUAAGGGCAUCAUAGAAAUAAAAAUGGGCAAGAAUACUUGUGCUGUCAAAGAAUUCUGUAUAUUUCCGGAUUACAGCCAAGCAAAACGUAGGUAAGCAUCCAUCUGCAAUCUGUGUAGUUGCAGGAUGUCUGUUCUGCCAACUCAUCCCUUAAAUAGUAAUAAUUUCCUUGUAGUUGUCCUAUUGUCAUACCUUAUGCGCAGUUGCUUGGACUUGCAGGGUGGCUCAUAAAUACAGUAAACAGGAGACUAGAUAGGAAAAUGAGGAUACAGGAGACUAAAAAACAGUUAAUAAAAAGAGUAGGAAAAUGAUAGCAGAGCAGAAGGGGAGAAAAAGAAUAAGCUCCGAGGAACGUCAGUGCCAAUAAAUGUAAUAUCCUACUCUUGAGCAGAAGAGAAUAAAGCACAGAUGGAAAUGGGAGGGUAUAUUCAUCCAAACCCAUUAUAAGAAAGCAAGCUGAUUGUUUCUCUUCUGUUCUUUACAGUGUUUUUAUGUCGCUUCUAUAUAAAAUCAUGCAUUGUCAUUGGUGAGGAAAAGGUAUAGCUAGAAUUUAGAAGGUCCUUUAAAAGCAAGCAUAUGCUGCAGAAAUAGCGAGCAACAGAGACGGGAAAUAAGUGAUGGUGGCCAUUCAUUCCUAGAGAAUUCACAGACUUUCUGAAAGCGAGGGAUCAAAUCCAGCCUUCAUCCUCCACUUCACUUAAAUGAGCUGCAACGGUCACCAGCAGGUUUGUCUUCCUGCAAGUCAGAACUCCACUUUUGGACUUUGGACUCUUACCUUUGCCCUUUCAUUUCAGCGAAAGACCAACACGUACAUCCGAACACAGAAUUAUUUUAUUUUCUGUCAUGAUCAAACCCAAAUGUUAUUUUACCUCUGCCAGCUUUGUGUAGGGUGAUGUGCCAUCUUGCACAUUUAUUUUCCUGGAGUGAUUCCCAGAAGUAUGCUAUGCUUUUUCUUGCUCAUGUCUCACUCGCUUUAUUUAUGAGUUGUCUACACCAGGUUUUCAGUCCCCGGGGAUGGGCCUACACAGGAAAUCUGUAGACAAUAUUUAAUACAUGAAAGUAGGAGAGCAGCAAAAAAGCACAGAAAUACUCCAAAGGAUCUAAUGCACAAUAUUCACAGUUUCACCUGGAUCAUGGUUAGCUUAGUGUCCAUGUUUUAAACCACAAACUCCUUUAUCUGUUUUGUCACGUAGAAGGAAAAGAUGUGGUAAAGAUUGCUAAGUCUGAAAGAAAUUUUACUUAAUGCUCACCGAUGCUCUUCAGCUGCUAAAAAUUUAAAAGCUGAAAUCUCACAGUGCACCUUUGUAGCAGAGUUAUGUCGUGGUAGAGGAGUGAGAAAUGAAAUACCAUAGCCUGGCUCUCUAUUUGGAAUACGUAGCCUCAGUGAGCCUCACUUUUACAGAAAUCUCUGUUAGUUCUUGGGGAAUUUGGUGGAUUCAGUUUCUCAAACUGGGCACACAGAGCUCGGGAGACACUGAUUUAACAUAAGACUAAAUAAAUACAGGCUGUUAAAAUUCGCUAGUUGCUUAACAGUUUAAGGGUAAAUGACUUUUACCUGAACCGUUUUAAUUGUGGAGUAAAGGCCUUCCAUGCUCAACAUCCAUACGUAAUCUGAAAUAUCAAACUUGUGAGUUAAAUGCUGUGGGGGUGGAUGUUCAGUUCAAAAUACCCAAAUGCAAUUAAGGACAAUGAGCCAACAUUUCCAGGAGAUAUCCCUGUCAAGUGGAAACAACUCGAAGAGCAAAUUUUAACCUGGUUUACAGAAUUACAAUUAAGUUACCCUCCGAUGAUGACUGAAUCUAAUAGCAGCAUCAUAAUGUUGCAGCUCUUGGUUCUUACUGAUCGCACAAAAAGGGUAUUUUUAAACAUUUUUCUCACUAUUAGGUUUGUGUACUCCUAUUAGCUGGAAAAUACAUCAAGAUAAGGCCUUCUUUCUCCCAUGCCAUCACAGCUGGAAACAGCACUUUGCUGAUGAAAUCUGAUUGGUAUCACAUUAUGCCUUUGAUUACACCUGUGCAAUCUCAUUAAUUGAGGAAUAAUGUGACCUAAGGAAACGUAAUGGUUAGUAACACCGUAUAGGAAAGCUGAUAUACAAAAUUUGAUGUGCAUUUUAAACUACAGUUGUAUUUAUAGGUCAACUGCCUGAACAAACACUUUUUACCAUCUCCUAGGCUUACUGUGAGAUGCCACAAGCCUUGACUGUUCCUUAUCAUACAGAUAAGUGACAAAAUAGGUCAGGCCAGAAAGCAGGGCAUCAUCCCUACCCAUCUGAUGUUCCGAUUCGUGUAAGAAGUCAAUCUGAUAUUCAUGCUUGCAUUCUUCACCUGGCAAAUGUUCCAUUGCUGUGUCUCUCUAUAACCACUGCACUGGGUGUGAUGAGUCUGCCACCCAACCUAGCUUGUCAAUACAUUGAUACAUUGCAGGGAUGCUCUUAAACUUGCUCUUGGGGCCUGCAAGCUGCAAGCACAGGAUCUCACUCUCAGGGCUGCCUACGUGCCUGCGUACACGAACUGGGAUUCAGUGAGGUGCUCAGCACAGCGCAUGGGUGAUGUGGGGCUGCUGGUACGUGUGAGAACAAGCAGAGUAGGGAGCGCAGCGUGAAGCCAGCCAGAACCAAGAUUGUUCUGAGUGCUGUGCAGAAGCAGCUUUGUGGCUAUACUGGCUUUCUAGUUAUGAUGCACAAGUGAUUGUACUUCUGUAAGGCUAAGCCCUCCUUCAUUCUCAGUAUGACUGCAGAGCAAGAGGAAAUGUAAAGGCUCUGAGUGAGGUAACAGUUACCACCACCUGGCUGAUUCAGCCUUGCAUCAAACAAUAUUAACCCUUUUGCUGAUGCGCAGCACAGACACAUCCUGCUGGUAAGGUGACAUGACAUGCUGCUUCUGCCUGUUGUUUCUCCUGACACCUGGACUCCCAAGAUGAUCACUUUAAAAGUGCUUCACUCCAUGACCCUAAAGAACUAAUUACUUAGUGGGAUUACCAAGAGUGAGGUAGCCUGAGGACAGGCGUUCCUGAAGCUAGCUUUGCAGGUGCUGCCUCAUCAGCUACCACUCAGUAAAGUCUCACCUCUGGUAUCAGUAAGUACCUAAAGGGAGAAGCAUUAUCCAUGCCUGCACCACUGUUUUUCUGAUGUAAGGGUCCCAAGUAAAUGCAGCUACCUCACUGAAAGCCCACCACCCACGUAUCGCCCUGUGCUCCUUCAGUAGCAUACGCUACUGAAGUGGUUGCCCCCUCCAUCCUGACACCUGAGUGUGCAAGUAGAGCUCCCAGCCCUUUUCUGGGUAGCAGAGCUUUCAUAGGCAUUUUCAUCAGGUGUACCAGAGCAACAGGCAGGUCCUGGGACACAUAGUUGUUGCCUUUGGUAAUGGGAGCAUGCGGAUAUUGCUGGUCAGGGAGCAGAUCUCUUUGAGGCCUGGCACUCAUCUCAGUCCCAGGACCUGACGAUGACUUUCCUAAAGGUACCCCCCCGUCAUACCCUUGCUACAGAGGAGUCAGGGAUAUGGCACUGGCCUUGGAGAAGCAGCACCACAAUUUGUUCCAGCAGACAGGGCCGGAACGAGCACAUCCCACCUCAUGGCUCAGCCAGGAUGUUUUGUAAAGCAAAGUGUGAGCCACCAGCUGGGGGGGAGAAAGAGAGAACACAUCUGAUGUUUGCUUCCCUGGUCAUUGAUCCCGCAGGUUUGGGCCAAAACUGCAAGAGAUGCCCCUUUGUGAGGCUGCCUUGUUGACCUCUGCUACUGUCGGGAGUGAAAUGAAGAUUACCCCUGUGGUGAUUCAGGCUGACCUAGAUUUUUAUUUUUAAAACAGACUAGCUGGGGUUACUCAGAAGUUUAUGCUCGGUUCUUGUUUGUUGUUGUUUCUGGGGGACUGUUUUCUUUAACAAGAAAGAAAGCACUCAGAAGCAUGCCUAGGCUUGCUGCAGGUGGUUACACUCAGCUGUAACCUGCCUGGUUGAGAGCUUGGUGAGCAGCGGGAGGAAAAGCGUGCUAGUUUGAACUGGAUUUAGUAGCAAGAAUAUUUUGACUUGGGCAGCAGAAAGAAAAUUGUAUAACACUGUUGUGCUAUCCUGGGUAGGAGAAGCCAAUGAAUUGCAUGACUCUUCUGUCUUCGCAAUCAGUUUGUUAUGCACAGAGCAAUGCCGUGGGAUUAAGCACUUUAUCUGCUGGGCUUCCCCUGGCAGCAUGUGAAGAAGUUCAUUAUAAGUGCUUAUCACAUGAUCCACUUAAUCAAACCACUGGAACUCUGAGAAUAAGUCAUUCUAACAAGACCCGCCAGAGCUGCCUUACAAACCACUCACUGAUAUACUCUUCCUUGGUUCGCAUACAAUGGGUUUCCUUGUGUGGCAGUGCACGAUACAGGAAGUUCAUUAUCCCCAGUCCAAAUGGGGACGUAAAGAAAGGAAGCGGGGCUUAUAAAGAAGCAACAGAUAACUUGCAGAGAUUCUAGUUAGCCACUCAAAUCCCACAUGCAGUUGGGCCAUAAGCCCUUCACGAGAAGAGCAUUCUGGUCUGUAGAGUUACACACAGAGCAGCUACAUAAAUAGCUGGUUUUAGCACUGUAAAAUAGAGAUGACACAGGAGAAGUUAUUUGCUUCUGUUGAUUAGAAGUUAGUGAACAAAAGAUAUGAAAUCAGAACAGAAAGCAUGCUUUUUGCUGGGCAUAGCACAUGUAAUACAAAUAGCAGCAGAGCUGAUCAAUAUCUGAGCUCAUGCAAGGUACCUUGAAAGCCUGCUAACUCUCAUUGUACACUGGGGGUUGAAAUGCUCAGACUCAUGUGACAAGCCAGGAGCUUGCACACAUGCUGGCUACAGCUUGUGCCUGUAUGCUGUACAGCUGGUCAGAUAAAAUGCCUUUCCCUACAACAUACCUGGGGACUGUUCCGGACAUAGGAAACCACUAGGUUGAGAGGUGCACUGUCUCCUCAGCAGAAUUCACUUUGCUUAAGCCCAUCACGAGUUUCUGGCAGUUACUGGUGUUACUAUAUGGUCAGAUCAACAGGCAGUGUCUCACAAGGGCAUGCUACCAGCUACACUGGCCUAUGUAAUGCUGUAAUGUGAUAGAAGGUACAGCAACAAUAGCAGAGCACCACAAUCCUAAGCUGCAACAGCCAUAGACACAGAAAUGAAGAAAAAAAAAAACCACCUGCUUACCUUCAGAAGGCGUCCAGAAGGCAGGGACCUCCAAAGAGAUGCCUUUACCCCCCCCCCACUGCCAAACCUUAAAUGAGGUCUGGGAAGGGGUGGAUCCUGGCUUCACCCCUCCCUGUCAAUCAGGUGCACUGCAUGCACCUGAGCGCCCCUGGGUUGGCCCUGCCUUCCACCAGGUGCUCAAUCACUGUUUCAGGCCAUGGCUUAGUGUUCCCGCUACAGCCUGGACCAGCCUUAACGUAAAGAUGCCCUAUAAUAACAGUUACUAGAUAAUUUUCUCAGGCAGCAGUCUGCAUGUGAGGCGUACACCUCUUCUUUCACCACUCAAGCUUAUGUGAGAGCAGCAUUGGGUCACAAUGGGCUGAAUGUUGCUUUUAGGUGGGGAUGCACAGGCUGAGCCUGUGGAUGAAUGGAACAUUCUUACUACCGGGUUUCUGCUGUUUCGGCUUCUUUACAGCCCCUGCUUCAGGAAAAUCAUCUCUGUUAUAAGACUUGGGGGGAAAUGGACACACAAGAAUUAUUUGUAUGCGCAUAGUAUUUUAUUGAAUAAGUCUCAAAUAGUAACUUUACUUAAGUGGCCAGUUUGCCUUCAUCUCUACUUCUUAUGUAAGGGACCCGGAGCAGAGUGAUAACAUUCUGCUGACUGCAGCAAUUCAGUGGUAAAGUGGAGAUACAUCUUCUUUUUCCAAAUGAUUUCUUAGUGCCUUAUCCAUUGCCCUGUACACGGGGAAAGACACUUUUAAGCAUCUGGAAUCAUUGGCAGAGAUAUCUUUAAUCUUCUUGAAAGAGAAACGGUUGGUUGUCCUCUGAGUGCUGUUAAUUAGGCAUCAAAGAAAAAUUGGCUUCUGUAUCAAUACUAAGACUGGAUCUCAGUGUCUCUGUAUGUCCCAUCUAUAGUAAAAAUUUGGGAGGAAGGCUGCAAUGGGUGUUGUGUUCAUGUGGAUGUAUAUACGUUCCUUCAUGUCAGUGAGAUGCACACAGUAUCUGCUGAGCAUUUAAGUGAUGCUACCAAAUACAAACCCGAGUGGUUUUGGUCGGUACCAAGCCGGGCUGAGUUCUCUCUGCCAGCUUAGGGAUGAAAGAAUCUUUAAUGCGUUAGCUACUCCUGGGCCGUUCAGCUCAAUCCUCACCAGUGUUAUCUUUUUAGAAGUUUUUCUGACUAAAUUGCUUCCUUUGAAGACUGCAGGCUUUUUAACAGCACACUGCAGCACCCGCUGCUUGCUGAAAAUCCUGAGGCCAGCACACCAGAGCAUUGCGCUGCCAAACAUGCCAGUCACAAAACAUCAUGUUCAGUGGAUUUUAACUGGAGGUAGCUGACAGAAAAUAGAAUGGACAUGUUGUAAGAGCUGUCAGGCCAAACAGAAGAAGACAGCUUUGAAGAAAGCCUCAAAGAUAGUAUUUCCAGAAUACAGUCCUUUAGAAGAAGUGAAAAACCCAAAGAAUGAAAUACAGUCAGAAUGAGCUCACUGCAGGUGGUGGCAGUCAUGAUUUUUUAAAGAUCAAUUUUAAUUAUAAACUACUUUAAUCAUUAUUUUUUUGUCCAGUGCCUAGCAUUACGAUACCUUUUUCUUCAGCCCCAGAAAACCACACUUCUGUGGUCCCUGCAGGCAUUCCCACAGCACUUUUUCCACCUUUGGAGGCUGGCGUUACACAGCAGAGAGGACUUUAUCAGCCUGACCUGCAGAUGGGGUGCUGCAAUUCCCUUGCCCCUGGCAGGACUCGGGCCACUCCUUUCCCAGCAGCCAGCCUGCUGGGGUUCACUGUGAGCACCCACAUUCUACCAGAGGUUCCCUGGGCCCUCCUGUUAGCCUGGAGAAGGUUCCAAGGCCUUCCCACCACGAGCAGGUGUCACAAAAUGGCCGCCUUCUGCCGCCACAGCUCGGGGCAGGUGUGAGGCUGCUGCUGGGAACCCCCGGUGUCACCGUGCACCAGUGCGUUCAGCUCAGCCUGCGGGGACCUCUGUCAUCUGCCGCUGGCACAGAUUAAACAGAAGCGACAGCAGGGGAGAAGCUGUUAAAUUAAAGCCAAAGAGUAACGAGAGAGAUGUUUGCUCUGUGAGAUAGCGCGCACCUGUUCUGCGUGCUGAGCGCGCUCUGAGGCCUGCUCUCCUUCCUUACCACAGCUGGCCUUCAUGAAAGGCUGUGCAGCUCCCUGUUCCCUGCCAGGCCCAGGCAUUUCCCUCAGCCUUACCUUGCAGCCAGGCCCCGAGGUGGGCUGCAGGCUGGGGAGAGGUCCCAACCAGUCCUUGCAGUGAGUCUGCCCCACAGGCUGCCCCCUGCCUGCCCUGCCACUGGUCCUGAGGCUGUCUGCCUCAUGGCUCUGUUAUGUGGUACUGAAUGAUGGUGGCUUGAAGGGCUCUCUGGGAGAAAAUCAGCUCCGGGAACAGCAUUUCAUGUCUUGCACGCAGGGUUUUAUAGGAUUACCUUUGUACCAGACCCACCAUACGGUUCCCUCUCUGGAGACACCGAUGUAGCUUAUCUGUGGGAUGAAAACAUUACUACCGUAUUUCUGUCACACAGGUGGCUGACAUAAAAAAUCUUCACACACAUUCAUGUCAUUGGAGUUCUGGCAAGACUGCGAGACAGGCUGCUUCUCACUGAGUUCUGUCUCUCCCUUCAUGCUGCCCUCAUCCCAGUGUUUGCUCUCAUUUUGGGCGGUGCAUUUCCCUCCCACACCCCACAGAUGCGCAGGCACUAGGGAGCAGCCCCCAGUACCUCUGCAGUACUAUGAAGGCAAUGCCUUCGUGCCUGCAGCUCAGCAGCUCCUGCUGGCAGCAGUGCCCACCCGCGGGAGGGGUGCUCGCAUGCUGAAAGCUACUGCCUCACUGUUUGCACAUGAAGUUAAUCACUGACUGAAGAGAUUUACAGAUGCAUUUCUAGGGCUGCUCCUGUUAUAUUUUCCUCUCCUGGCCUCAAGGCUCUUGUUUUCUGUAAUUUCCUUCCUAAAGUUCCCUGUAACCCUAAUCUCUUUUAGCAUGAACAUGUUAGUUUUGAAGCUGCCUGCGUGUUUCCAGCCUCUCCUUCUCCCUCACCUGCCGAUUAUUUCUUUUCCUCCGUCCUCUCCCUACUUAUGUUGUUUGCAGAAACCUGCCUUUCCC